UAGGGAAUCUUCGGCAAUGGACGAAAGUCUGACCGAGCAACGCCGCGUGAGUGAAGAAGGUUUUCGGAUCGUAAAACUCUGUUGUUAGAGAAGAACAAGGACGUUAGUAACUGAACGUCCCCUGACGGUAUCUAACCAGAAAGCCACGGCUAACUACGUGCCAGCAGCCGCGGUAAUACGUAGGUGGCAAGCGUUGUCCGGAUUUAUUGGGCGUAAAGCGAGCGCAGGCGGUUUCUUAAGUCUGAUGUGAAAGCCCCCGGCUCAACCGUGGAGGGUCAUUGGAAGCUGGGAGACUUGAGUGCAGAAGAGGAGAGUGGAAUUCCAUGUGUAGCGGUGAAGUGCGUAGAUAUAUGGAGGAACAACAGUGGCGAAGGCGGCUCUCUGGUCUGUAACUGACGCUGAGGCUCGAAAGCGUGGGGAGCAAACAGG
rnacentral:rRNA from 1 species